rnacentral:misc_RNA from 1 species
GGUACAAGAUUAGUAUUAGAUUUGGGGAGUUGGAGAGUGAAGGUAUUUCUACUUUUCAUUCCCUGAAAUGAAGAGACAUUGGAGCAUUUUGCUCUGAAUCAGGCGAGUCGAAUGCAACUGUGGUUGUUAUCGCUGACAUUCAGAUCAAAGCAAUUUGCAACAUUGAUUGGUCGAUUUCAAAUCUUCCAUA